CUUCCUUCUCUCGCCCGCUCCGAUGUAGACUCGAACUCCAUCGCGACUCCUCGUGGCACGAUCAUACCUAGACUACAACCGAGGCAAGCAAGACCCCCAAACCAAAGGCAGAGAACGACGGAGCGCCGACGGUUUCAUUGGUCGGCUCGACUGCCAUCACGAGUCCCCAUGAGUCGAUACUACCUCGACUGCAACCGAGGCGAGCACGGCCCCAAACCUGCUCGAGGGAUCGACGGAACGCCAUGGCCGACUGCUGCAUCAUCCUCGAGGGAGGAGCUGACCCGCUUCAACACCGCUGCCCCAGUCCCCUGUGUUUAUCGGUGUGAUCCUAGGCCCUCAACUGGACUAGCCACCGCCUCAUGCUCUGCCGCCAUGCACAACCUCUAUCGGUCCAUGAUGGCUAUGGAGUAAACGCCAAUUACCUUGAACAGUCUUGGCGGAAGACAUGAACGUUCGUGUCUUCGCUAUGAUGCGACUCUUGGAGCACUGCAAGGGCGGGCGAUGGCGGAGCGCCGGUGGAAUCUCCUGCGUGGACGGAUUAGGAGGAAGGGAACAUCAGUUCGAGGGCUACACCUUCAGGAUUUGAGCCGCACCAGUUCGAGGGCUUCGGAGGCUUGCUGUUGUUGUUGUCCCCUUUGCCGCUGUGUGCAUAUAUGAUUCUGGCCCAGGGAGGAGGACUCUCUGGCUCUGGCCCUUCUGUCGUUGAUCUAGUUAGCACCUCCAAUGCUAUUGCAGCUAAUCUCUGCUAAAGAAGUUUGGACCUGAUGCAGUUCAUUGACGAACACAAAUAGGCCUGUAGACUGGCUUCCAAUCUCCAUUGAUUUGCAUUCAUGCACUUGACAGGAAUCUGAUGUUGAGGAGUCUGAUGGUCAGGUGUUAAUGUGUUAUUGUGACAGUUUAGUGCGGCUGCUCCCCUGACUUGCUUCCUAGCUCCCACUCCACUUACCUGUCAGCUGGGCGUGUUGCUUUGAUCGUUUGAUCUCGAAAAGAUGACACACUAGGGCGUACAAGGAAAAUUUCAGGUUAGUUCGUACAUGAUUGAAUCCUCUCCGUGCAAAAACCGGACGAUACACAGUUUGUAGGAAAAUCAGUGAGGGGCUGAAUGACAAAAAGUGCAUAAAACUUGGCUACUGUUUAGGGGCAUAAGCAUGAUCAUGUCAAAAAUGAAUACAAUCAGAAUGUUAUUAUGGUCUUACAGAUAAAACAUUCAGGUUAGUAAUUUCUCUUGUCUGCGGUACUUGAUUGCUCUUCAUUAGUACGUGUUAGAGCUAUGGAUGUUGAACUCGCUAGAUUCCUUUUUAUUAUGUCUGCAGGGAAGUGUUGCCUACUUGGAGGCUAUACACAUGUUGGAAAGUGUUGACUACUUGGAGGUAGUUGCUUAAUGCGUACAAAACUGCUCAAACCACUGUUCAUUUAUCACUCUAUAGUUCAUUGAAUCAUUGAAUUUACUUUGUGGAUGUACAUUAAAUAGUCUAACUGAAAUUCCGAUGCAAACACGUUGGCUAAAUGAAUAAAAUAGAAUUGAUUGGCCUCUAUUCUACUGCAAUGUUAAGGUUAAAGGGAAUUUAAAUCAUUCAUACAAAUGUACUUAGGUUAGGUAUUUUCUAAAUUUCUUAUUUUCUAAAGUUCAUUGUAAAUGGUGUGUAUGCUUUCCAAUGUUGAUAUAAGGAAGAUGUAGUCCUGAUAUUAACAAUUCAUUCUGGUGCGAGCUUUAAACAGAGGACAUGUAAAAAUGCAAAUUACGCGUGUCUUUAGGAUAAUUGAAUUAAUGGCAUAAUCUUAUAUCUAUGAAAAUAUGUAGUUGUGCAGAUGCACUAGGUGUGGGGAAUAGCUCACGGAUGGUGGCCUUCACGUCCUUGAACAUUCACUUGUGAUGUUGCGGUUCAAUAACAGGCAUCUCAUGUGGGAGCUAAUUUUGUUGCCUUGAGAUCGAACAUUCACUUGUGAUGUUGCGGUUCAAUAACAGGCAUCUCAUGUGGGAGCUAAUCUUGUUGCCUUGAGAUUGACCAUGUUUGGGCGCAUUAUGAUCAUAUAGAAACCGCAACACCAUUGGGGAGGACGAGAAGGAGGACGUUAUGACACCUAUGAGGCACUCUCUAUUGAAAUAGAGGGUGUUAGUGUGUGUCAUUUUUUUGUUCUCCAUUGAAAUAGAGGGUGUUGAUGUGCGUGUUUUUUUUCUCCCGUUGCAACGGGCAUGU